AUUGAACGCUGGCGGCAUGCUUUACACAUGCAAGUCGAGCGGCAGCGCGGGGGGCAACCCUGGCGGCGAGCGGCGAACGGGUGAGUAAUGCAUCGGAACGUACCCUGGAGUGGGGGAUAACGCCGCGAAAGCGGCGCUAAUACCGCAUAUGCUCUGAGGAGGAAAGUGGGGGACCGCAAGGCCUCACGCUCUGGGAGCGGCCGAUGUCCGAUUAGCUAGUUGGUGAGGUAAAGGCUUACCAAGGCGACGAUCGGUAGCUGGUCUGAGAGGAUGAUCAGCCACACUGGGACUGAGACACGGCCCAGACUCCUACGGGAGGCAGCAGUGGGGAAUUUUGGACAAUGGGGGCAACCCUGAUCCAGCCAUGCCGCGUGAGUGAAGAAGGCCUCGGUUGGUAAG
rnacentral:rRNA from 1 species